rfam:Opisthocomus hoazin contig23820, whole genome shotgun sequence.
CCAAAGGCUCUUUUAAGAGCCACCACGUGGCCAUGAAAGUGCUGU